CUUGGAAGGGGUGUGAGUUUCGACCACCGCGGCAACGGCGGCUGCGUUCCUUCGAGUCUCUCCACUUCGACUGUACCAGUGAGAGAGCGCAAGUUGGUGACUCGAUCCGAUCUACUUGCAAUCCUAUUCGAUCUCGUCUCAUUGUGGCAGUCUGGUGACGUUUUCUGAGUCUCGAAACCCUCCAAACUCAUUCUUUGGAAUCUGAUGAUUCUUAGUUUGUCCGAGUUAUCGGUAAAUUCCGACAACACGUUUGCCAUUAGAUUUUGGUUUCUCGUGUUUCUGUCUUGUGAACUCUUAUCGGUCAUAUUCUACGGAUCAUAUUAAUCAUCCGUGCUGCUUCACAUUCCAAACAUCGAACCAAUAAUUAUUGUAAGGAUUCAGUAAUUCCAUCUUAUAACUUCCUAAUCGAGAAAUUGAGACUCCAUUUUGCACAAUUUCUGUAGUUAUUGAACGUUGUAAAUGUUUCUUGAAUGUGUUGUCUACUCAGUAGAUACUUUAUUGGCUCAGAUAGAUAUGAAUUAGUAUUUCUCUUUACGACAUCAAGAUGCUAGAUGAUGGUCGUCAUGAUUUAUCCUCUUUUGCAGACUGAUUUCGAAAUGGAACACCAUGUUAUGAUUUUUUUUUAUAGAAUAAGACAUUGCAGAAGGUGAAACAAUUGUGCUGUUCUCCAUGUCAUAUCAUCAACUAACUUCAGUGCAUGCUGAUGCAUCAGACAGGGUUUGCAAACCAGGUUCUUUUUUCCUUCUCUAUGUCUAGGCAAAUAUAGACAUGCACAGAUGUAGCUAUAACUCACAACUCAUUGUUAUUUAAGCAAUAAGAAAUUUAGAUUGAUUUUUUUUUUUUUUUUGGUGCUUACUGAUAACUCUCUACUGAUAUUUCUUGUUACACAGGUGUAAAUCUCAGCUCGAUGUCACAAUUGUUAUCAUCUUAACAAAGGUCCUAAAUGGUAACAUGCAUGCUAUGUCAUCGUCUUAUAUUUAAAAUUCCAUGAGAUUCUGGUUUUUCUGCCAUCAUCAUGCCGACACCAUCAUCACAACAAAAUAACAAAUUUGAACACCAAAAUUUAGGUAUGCAAACACACAUACAGACCGACAUGGCAGGAUAUUUUGGUGGAUUCAAUGAUUUCACAUCAAUACCAGAAGCAGCAAAGUGGUGAAACCUAGCAUGAGAAGAUUGUUGGUUGGUCAUGAAAGAGAAGAAGCCCUUUCAUCCAUCCAUUUAUUCCUUAAUCCAUUAGUGGUGGUAUCUUUUGGCUUUCUGGACAAGAGAACUUCAUUUUCCAACUUUAAGACUGGCUUAAGAUGAUUUUUCAUUUCAUGUUCUUAGCUCACACCAGUCUUUCAAGUGGGAAUAACUGCAAGGCACUCUCAGUUCAUGUGAAGUUGGAAACCACCACACCCAUUUCCUACUUUACCAAGGAUUGCAGCUUCAAGGACCUACAUAUCAUAUGCAAAAGAUUUUAGUUGUUUGCACUUUUUUCUCAUUAUAGUUGUUGCACUGGUUGCCGUCACGUUACUAACAUGGGCCUUGUUCGAGAAAAAAGAUUUUCCUAGAAAUUGAGACCACUGGAUUGGACUAGUUGUGCAAGCAAUUGCAAACCACUUGCAAAAAUCUUUUGGAAGUUUGAGAAGGCUCUGCAUAUCUCUGGAAUUUCCAGAAGCCUCUGAAAUUGAUGUGUGAAAUGUGAUCUUUGCCUUGUGCACCAAAAAUUUUCUUUUCAUGUCAUGCUUUGCUUCUUGCCGACUGAUCUAGGUGAAGGCUGUGGAGGCACCAGGGACCGAGACCAUAUUUAGUGAUUGCUUUUUCGGCCCACUGUUUCAAGCACAGCAUAUGAGAUUCCGACAACGACCGGCACCCGAGCUGGCAUUUGGACAGGAGAUGCCACUAUGAUUUUAAAGCUCCAACCAACCAAGCGGAUCGGUGGCUGAGCUCCCUGGAUGUUGGCAUCAAUUGCUAUUGAAGGUGGCAUCAAUUAUCAUUCCCCUCCUUUGGUGGAUCCUACCUGCCACAUUACCAGGAACCAAAGUGCUACAUCAUGAAAGUGAUCGGCUCCCCUCAUCACUCAGGCUUGAUGCUUAUCCUCGUCAGGUCUCAGUUCUGUUGAAGCUUGGUACUUCGAGACCCAUCUGGUGACGGUGGAAGUAAAGAAGUCAUUCAUGGUUGUGUGUGUUCAUGUUUCAAGGGGACACCCUCGGUGGAAGUUUUUGGUAAGCAUGGUUUCUGUAGUAAGAGAUGUGAAAUGUCCAGCCACUGUCGGGAUUAAACCGCUUUGGAUCAAAUUGCACAUCUUGAACUUAUUGAGCAAGUGUUCUUCAAUUCCUUUACCUUAUGAUUGUUUAUUCUA